rnacentral:rRNA from 1 species
UACGUAGGUGGCGAGCGUUGUCCGGAUUCACUGGGCGUAAAGGGAGCGUAGGCGGACUUUUAAGUGAGAUGUGAAAUACUCGGGCUCAACUUGAGUGCUGCAUUUCAAACUGGAAGUCUAGAGUGCAGGAGAGGAGAAUGGAAUUCCUAGUGUAGCGGUGAAAUGCGUAGAGAUUAGGAAGAACACCAGUGGCGAAGGCGGUUCUCUGGACUGUAACUGACGCUGAGGCUCGAAAGCGUGGGGAGCAAACAGG